GAUCAUUAGUGAAAGUUUCGGGCCUGCCAUACGGACGCAAACACGUCUCUGGCGCCCAUCACUAUAUCCAUACCAACCCCUGUGCACUGUGAUGACGAAUGUCAUCGAACAAAAAAAACUCGUAUGGUUGAAUGUACGUGAAAUUGUAGGUAUAGCCUACGAACUAUACACAACUUUCGACAACGGAUCUCUUGGUUCUCGCAUCGAUGAAGAACGCAGCGAAACGCGAUAGGUAAUGUGAAUUGCAGAAUUCCGUGAAUCAUCGAAUCUUUGAACGCACCUUGCGCUCCAUGGUAUUCCGUGGAGCAUGCCUGUUUGAGUGCCGCGAAUUCUCCCUCCCCUUACGGUGGCCGAAAGGCCGAAGUAGGGCGGACGGGGUAGGAUGGGUGUUGCUGCCUGGGGAUUGUACCAGGCUCGCCCGAAAUGCAUAAGCGCCAGGACCCUCGCUACCGCUCUCUAGGGAAGAGUGGCUAAGCGACCGCUGAGCAUGGCAUGAUACGUCAUUUGCUGUGUGUGGGCGGCCGGUUGGAGAGGUGUCUGCUUUACCAGCCCUUUUUUAAUUCUGGUCUCAAAUCAGGUAGGAUCACCCGCUGAACUUAAGCAUAUCAAUAAGCGGAGGA
rnacentral:rRNA from 1 species